rnacentral:rRNA from 1 species
AUUGAACGCUGGCGGCAUGCCUUACACAUGCAAGUCGAACGGCAGCACGGGGCAACCUGGUGGCGAGUGGCGAACGGGUGAGUAAUGCAUCGGAACGUACCUUUCAGUGGGGGAUAACGUAGCGAAAGUUACGCUAAUACCGCAUAUUCUGUGAGCAGGAAAGCAGGGGAUCGCAAGACCUUGCGCUGUUUGAGCGGCCGAUGUCAGAUUAGCUAGUUGGUGUGGUAAAGGCUCACCAAGGCGACGAUCUGUAGCGGGUCUGAGGGGAUGAUCCGCCACACUGGAACUGAGACACGGUCCAGACUCCUACGGGAGGCAGCAGUGGGGAAUUUUGGACAAUGGGGGCAACCCUGAUCCAGCCAUGCCGCGUGAGUGAAGAAGGCCUUCGGGUUGUAAAGCUCUUUCGGCCGGGAAGAAAUCGCACGGGCUAAUACCCUGUGUGGAUGACGGUACCGGAAUAAGAAGCACCGGCUAACUACGUGCCAGCCGCCGCAGUAA